CGGCGCCCCCUUAAAACGAAACAGCGCAGACGGUGGGAGACCCUGCCACAAAGUUGGGUCUCAUCCUUCUGGCUCGUUUUCUGGGGCUGCGAUCUCCCUUCCUGACUGUGCAAACGACACCGAUUUUCCACCUCAGCUUGUGCUAAACUUGCCUUUGGCUCUUGCCGCAAAUGCUGGAAAGAUCAGGGUGACCCUUCCGGGCGGCAGCUUGGCCAAAAGGCCGGCGAGGGAGAAGUAAUUACCUCAGCAAUGACAGGCAGGCGGCACUGGAAACAGAGCCUACGGCCCUUGCUGAUGAGCUCAGAGAUGUCACCAGGUGCCACCAACGUUCACGGACAUCGCAGAGACCAACCAAGUGCAGACCUUGGGAGGCCCUGUGGGGUCCUAGAGACAGAGGCGCGGUCCGCGGGGAGGAGUCACAGCCUGAGCAUGGCCAGCGGUCGUGGUCAGAAGCAGCCUGUGGGUCGGUGCACCGAUAGUCCAGGGGCUUUCUCCUGCAAACCCCCUCUCCGGGGCUGCUUUGUUCUGCCUUCCCUCGUGGUCUCUCUGCUUCUCCUGAGUCUUGGCUCUUGUCCCGACAAGUUCAGGCUGGUAGUCUGGAGUCAGAGCCCCGGGCGGGAGGGAGGGGAGCGAGCAGAGAGCAGGAGCAGGGGCUGGGGCUGAGCUGCGAGGAGGGGCUCGGAAUCCGUGGCUAUGGAAGAGUCUAAGCCAGGGGAGUGAGCACGGACUGGGGCUGGUGGCCUCUCUAGUCGCUGCCUCAGUACCUUCUGUCUAAGCUUCCCUUCCCAGCUCUGAAGAGCACUUUGGGCAAACCCCAAGUUUUCUCACCACUUCAGACGCUCGAGUCCAGCUCACUCUCUGCAGUCUCCGUGGCCUUUAAUGAUUAUCUUUUCCCCUCCC
rnacentral:lncRNA from 1 species